rnacentral:lncRNA from 1 species
UCCUUACUUUUCGUAUAGCUGUCUACUAAUUUGCUAUCGCAAUUGAUGCUUCACCUUUCAGGCGAAACUGCGACUUCUUUUAUUUAUCGCAACUUUAGUGCAAUGGGAGCAGAUCUUCGUUUUUCCAAAUUGGAGAAAGUUGUAUUUCUAUAUGAAAUAAUGAGGUGCGCGGUACUAUAAAGGACUUUACUUUCUUUUAGGUCAUGGCAAACAAGUGCGUGUUACAACCAAGGUGGUGCGAGAACCUAGUAAUCAAUAAAUUUCUAUUCUUGGAGCCUGAUCUUGCUAUUACUUACGCUGGCACCUGGCCUUGUAGUAGUAUCAUUAAUAAUUCAAGGCUUUCCAGGUUAUCAAGAAGUCCCUCGAAGUCCUGAAUAUGACUGAGCAAAAUGCUCUCGAGAAGGUGGCACCUUGGUCUUGCACAAUCAUUUGCAGACGAGUCACACCCUAUUGUCAAAUCUCUCCCCUCUCAGUGUGGAAGAUGCAUUAAAGACUGCCCGAGAGGUCUAUCGCUCAAACAGAGCCAGAUUGCGAAAUGAGAUGAAGGCUAGGCUCAUGGAAAAUACUUUGGGUUCUUCCAAUUCUCCUGAGCAAAUGAACAAUGAGCACAGCUACUUCAGAGUCGGUAUAGACGACAAUGUGGUGUACUACUUACCCGAGUGUGUUGUACACAAAGUCAGCAAGCAUACAGAAGGUCAGUUGUGCCUGCAGGCUGUUAGCCCAGCAUUUCCAGUCGUCGACGCAUACCUUACCACAUAUCGGAGCUUCAAGGAGGGGAGCCUGAAGCAUCUCACCAAGAUGCUACAGUUCAUAAGAGUUGCGAAUGACUCUUUCCCUUGAUGUGGGAGGUCCCUGUGGGAACCAGUUUUGGAAGGCCCUGGAUGAGCUGGAUAAGUGCAAUCUUGCGCAGCUAAGUUGUGAUGAGCAUGAGUCCACGCUCACGUGCCAAAUAUUGAACUUUCAUUGUCACACAGAUGCAUUUCUAUGCGAGGGAUGUAAACCGCUACCUAGAAACCCGCGGGAAAGUCGCAAUCGACAACAAGAAAGCUCAUCUUUAGUGAAGACACUUUCGACAUGAAAACGUGAUGCGUGCGGCUCUUGUGCCUUGCUAUAAAAGCUUGUUUAACUCAUUGAGAGAGGAUACGGUUUUUUUUUCUUUGCUUAUUCUUUUUCAGCACUACAUCUGCAGGCUUGGAGUGGCACCUGACACCAGCAAAUGAUGCCGAGAGCGAGUGGGGCUAUACUAAUCCAGGUACAACCGAAUUGGGGAGGCCCACUAAGCUUCAACAAAGACACUCCCUCACCAGAACAGGAAUUGGCCUCCCUGGUGCAGUAUUCGGCCACUACCUCCCAAAUGAUUCCUACAAUUAACCCAUGGCCCUCAGUCCCCAGCAGCUGUGGAGCACCUGACCAAGGCAGCGGCCAGACCUGUAAUGCAGCAGAAGGUGCUAAGACGGGUAAUAGGAGAUCGCAGGAAGAGGCCUUCAUCCGGCAGUGGACAUAAAACAGGCUGACGAUGAUAA